ACCCCGUUACAGCCCUGCGAACUCUUCGGCUGCUUCACCGCCAGCCGCCCCAAUUGCCAUGGGCUGCUCAUGGAGGAGUUUGCAGGCCUGGGCGUUAAAUGUGCUAAGGGGGCACCAAAGCUGAGGGAAGAGCCCUAUGGUGUGGCUGGACCAAGUAAACCUAGAGCAGUGGUCACCAACAGUAGAUCUGGAUCUCUGAGCCUCUGACAGUUGAUCCUGGGAUUUGGCCAGGAAGGGAUCAAGUGCUGGCACUUCAGUUGCCGCUCCACCCACUGCCAGCUGUUCCUGCCCUCUGCUUUGGAGCUGCCCGGCUGGGAGCCUCCUGCUUGGGAGGGAGAAGAAGGGGUGUUGAUGUCAGGGUAUCCCUCUUCCCCCCACAUCUGUACCCUGUCUCCACACAGAGAGAAGGGGAUGGAGGGAGCUUGAAUCCAGAUGCACAGAGGCUUCAGAGAGACCAUGGACACAAUCCUGAGGAAUGAAAGAGAAGAAAAUUCCAUAUAGGUAACAAGACAAGAAUGGAGCCAUAAGAUUGUGUACUUUCUGCUGAAGUAUAUUGCUGCUUUUGAUGACCUCUCCUCAAGGAAUUUUUGUAUUGAGAAAAAGGAAGCUCUUGAGCAAACCUUAGACUCUCUUUGACUUAUGGCAGAAAUUGCCCCACUGUUUACCACCUUAGCUUUUAAGGUGCCAUUUCUACAUAGAUCUGAUUGAGUAUAUUGUGGGGUGUACAUGGUCUGAAUUUUAAGGACCGUUUUUCAUGUUGUUCGGAAUCUGAAGACUUUAUUAAAACAGCCUGUUUUUGUUAUGAUUGUAAUCUAAGAUAAUUAUGUCAAUAUUUCUUAUUUUCUUCUUUUAAAUUGUAUUCUUCCUGGUGUUCCAUCUCGCUGUGGUGCCUAAAAAAUUCUGCCAAUUGGCCUUCUCCCUAAUCAUAGGUCCGCUUCAUCUUGGGUGCACAAUAAUCUUUGCUGAAGAACCAUUUUUUACUGCUGU